UGGGGAAUAUUGGACAAUGGGCGAAAGCCUGAUCCAGCCAUGCCGCGUGUGUGAAGAAGGUCUUCGGAUUGUAAAGCACUUUAAGUUGGGAGGAAGGGCAGUAAGCGAAUACCUUGCUGUUUUGACGUUACCGACAGAAUAAGCACCGGCUAACUCUGUGCCAGCAGCCGCGGUAAUACAGAGGGUGCAAGCGCUAAACGGAAUUACUGGGCGUAAAGCGCGCGUAGGUGGUUCGUUAAGUUGAAUGUGAAAGCCCCGGGCUCAACCUGGGAACUGCAUCCAAAACUGGCGAGCUAGAGUAGGGCAGAGGGUGGUAGAAGUGCAUGUAUAGCGGUGAAAUGCGUAGAUAUAGGAAGGAACACCAGUGGCGAAGGCAACCACCUGGGCUCAAACUGACACUGAAGUGCGAAAGCGUGGGGAGCAAACAGG
rnacentral:rRNA from 1 species